GACGAACGCUGGCGGCAUGCCUAACACAUGCAAGUCGAACGGAGUUUCUUAAAUGGAUUUCUUCGGAAUGAAGCUUUUGAAACUUAGUGGCGGACGGGUGAGUAACGCGUGGGUAACCUGCCCUUUUGUGGGGAACAACUUCGAGAAAUCGGAGCUAAUACCGCAUAUACUUACGGGAUCGCAUGAUACUGUAAGGAAAGAUGGCCUCUGAAUAUGCUAUCGCAAAAGGAUGGACCCGCGUCUGAUUAGCUAGUUGGUGAGGUAACGGCUCACCAAGGCGACGAUCAGUAGCCGGCCUGAGAGGGUGAACGGCCACAUUGGGACUGAGAUACGGCCCAGACUCCUACGGGGAGCAGCAGUGGGGAAUAUUGGGCAAUGGGGGAAACCCUGACCCAGCAACGCCGCGUGAAGGAAGAAGGCC
rnacentral:rRNA from 1 species